ACUCCCAAGACAAACCCACCGACAGACUGACUGACAAGCAAGCACUUCCCCACGGAACCCGGCCCAGGCCCCCAACUUUACGUCCGCGUCUGCGCGAAGCGCGCGCUGCCACGUCGCCCCCAAGCGAUAACCGCCCCCGCUGCAUUCUGGGGCUUGUAGUCUUGGCAUCGGCCCCAGUAGGGGAGUGGCAUCAGCUUAAAAAGAGGGCAGCUGUGACCUCCGCCUGUCAACGAACCUGCCUGGGGGGCUGUCAAACUCGGGGACUGAAUCUCAUCCUGUCUUCAGGUCAGGAAGAUGUCACCCUCCCUGUCCCAGCGGGAGCUGAACCCUGUGUUUGUGUAAAGUUUUUUAAAAGGCUGCCUGCCACGUGCACCCUCUCUUUUGAUGCCCAUUACAGCUGAGGGUGAAAUUGUCAGACUGUUGUCCCCAUUUGCCCAAUGGGGCUCGGAGAACUCACGUGACGACUCAAGGGCACACAGCUGUACUCCACCUCUCUCAGAUGCUGCUGUUCAGUGCUGGUGUUAGGGCCCUGGAAGAGCUGGAAUUUGGAAGUCAAGGAGAGACUGGAGUUUCUGGUGCUCAAAAAGAGUGACAAGAGUGACAGUGUUGCUUCAGAGGGUGAAGGGAACCCAACCCAUGGCUAAAUGGAGGAAUACAUGGCACCAACUUUUACCACACAAGUUUAUUUUAAAUAAAAGUGAACACAGAU